rnacentral:misc_RNA from 1 species
GUUCAGAAGCAUCUCAGCCCACUCAUUCUCAACAUUUUGAGGCAAAACUGACUGCAUUUUAGGCAGCAAAGCUCCCAUGUGAUCAUGCACAACAUGAUGAACGUGUGAUUGAGAAUCAGCAAAAUUUUCAUUGCACCGGCAACAUCUCCAGAACUCCCAUGUUUUAUGGGUCUCGGCAAAUGGAAGAGCAUCAGAGAGUACUUCUAUAGCCAAAUGAUCCUUAGAAGCAGUAAAAUGUGUCUUAAGAUCUGAAAUUCUAAUUCUAAGCAAUUCUUUCUUCACAUCCAAACUUAUGGAAUUCCAAUAUGACUGCACCCACUUUCUUCUCUCAGUGGAAGAAGUAUUCUUCUUUGCAUUUCCGCUGGACCUCCUAUCUCG